UGGGGAAUAUUGCACAAUGGGCGAAAGCCUGAUGCAGCAACGCCGCGUGAGUGAUGAAGGUCUUCGGAUUGUAAAGCUCUGUCUUUUGGGACGAUAAUGACGGUACCAAAGGAGGAAGCCGCGGCUAACUACGUGCCAGCAGCCGCGGUAAUACGUAGGUGGCGAGCGUUGUCCGGAUUUACUGGGCGUAAAGGGUGCGUAGGCGGAUGUUUAAGUGAGAUGUGAAAUACCCGGGCUUAACUUGGGUGCUGCAUUUCAAACUGGAUAUCUAGAGUGCAGGAGAGGAGAAUGGAAUUCCUAGUGUAGCGGUGAAAUGCGUAGAGAUUAGGAAGAACACCAGUGGCGAAGGCGAUUCUCUGGACUGUAACUGACGCUGAGGCACGAAAGCGUGGGUAGCAAACAGGAUUAGAUACCCUGGUAGUCCACGCCGUAAAACGAUGAGUACUAGGUGUAGGAGGUAUCGACCCCUUCUGUGCCGCAGUAAACACA
rnacentral:rRNA from 1 species